GACCCCGUAGCUCAGUGGUAGAGCAACGGCCUUUUAAGCCGUGGGUCGCUGGUUCGAUCCCAGCCGGGGUCACCC
rnacentral:tRNA from 1 species